AAUGAACGUUGGCGGCGUGCCUAACACAUGCAAGUCGAGCGCGAAAACUCCUUCGGGAGUGAGUAGAGCGGCGGACUGGUGAGAAACGCGUGAGAACCUACCCUUUAGUGAAGAAUACCACCGGGAAACUGGUGUUAAUGCUGCAUACGUCCCUACGGGGAGAAAAGUAGCUUUAUGCUGCUGCUGAAGGAUGGGCUUGCGUACUAUUAGCUAGUUGGUAGGGUAAAGGCCUACCAGGGCGAAGAUGGUUAGCCGGCCUGAGAGGGUGUACGGCCACAUUGGGACUGAGAUACGGCCCAGACUCCUACGGGAGGCAGCAGUGAGGGAUAUUGCGCAAUGGACGAAAGUCUGACGCAGCGACGCCGCGUGAAGGAUGAAGGUCUUCGGAUUGUAAACUUCUGUUAAGCGGGAAGAAAUGCCGACGAAAGUCGGAGAUGACGGUACCGCUAGAGAAAGCACCGGCUAACUUCGUGCCAGCAGCCGCGGUAAUACGAGGGGUGC
rnacentral:rRNA from 1 species